UUAGAAAAUAUUUUUUUUUGUAUUUUGUUAUGUAAAAUAUGUAAAAGUAAAAUAAAUAGUUUAUUUUCAGUUUGAUCUGGUUUGAUAACAAAUCCACUAGUUAAAUUAAAGUAUACAGAUAUGUAAUAAUACAGUAAUAAGAGCUUCUUAUGAAGAUAACAAAGAGGAAUACAACAAGAAAAAUGGAAAGAAACGAGAUUUUCUUUUGGGAAGAUGUGAACUUGCGUAGAACUUCAUAAGAAAACCUCAUCGAUUGUACUCUGCUUUUCAAGUGUGUGCCAAAAGAGAGUAAAUCUGGAGCAACAAGAUUGGAAUCCUGUUGAAAAAACAUACCCGCGAGAUGGUUUCUGCUUUUAAUUGUUGUUCUACAUUAUUAGGAGAUGUAUUAUUGUUAUGAAGAGAUGCAGUAGUAAAGAAGUAUUUGCAAGUUAUUGGAAAUAUGAACGUCCGGUAUACAUCAGAAAGAAAAUUCUAUAGAAGAAUCAAGGAGCAAUCCAAGGACCUAUGCUAUUUAGGCUGUAUAUUAUGUCUAACAAUAAAUUUGUAAUUAAUUGUAUUUAUAAAUUA